rnacentral:rRNA from 1 species
UACACAUGCAAGUCGAACGGCAGCACGGGUGCUUGCACCUGGUGGCGAGUGGCGAACGGGUGAGUAAUACAUCGGAACAUGUCCUGUAGUGGGGGAUAGCCCGGCGAAAGCCGGGUUAAUACCGCAUACGAUCUACGGAUGAAAGCGGGGGACCUUCGGGCCUCGCGCUAUAGGGUUGGCCGAUGGCUGAUUAGCUAGUUGGUGGGGUAAAGGCCUACCAAGGCGACGAUCAGUAGCUGGUCUGAGAGGACGACCAGCCACACUGGGACUGAGACACGGCCCAGACUCCUACGGGAGGCAGCAGUGGGGAAUUUUGGACAAUGGGCGAAAGCCUGAUCCAGCAAUGCCGCGUGUGUGAAGAAGGCCUUCGGGUUGUAAAGCACUUUUGUCCGGAAAGAAAUCCUUGGCUCUAAUACAGUCGGGGGAUGACG